rfam:Dichanthelium oligosanthes cultivar Kellogg 1175 unplaced genomic scaffold Do_version_2_scaffold5514, whole genome shotgun sequence.
GGGCUCAUGAUGAUUUGGAUCCGAAAGGAUCUUAGCGGAUUUCGGUGAGGCGGAUUCAUCCGCCGUUGAUCGUUUUCAUGUUGUUACACACACUGAAGCCC